CUACGAAGCAGCGUCUCCUAGACAUUCUAGUGAGGUAGCCAUAGCCCUUAUUGCAAGAGCGGUAUCAUCAGUGGCAAAACACGGUAUGUAGGACAGACCUCCAUAUUGAGUUGAAUGUAGGAGGGAUGCCCCUGUAAGAAGACAUUGGUGCUCUGUACUGGUAUAAGCCUGUAAGAUGAACAAAGGGCGACGGUAGCAGGAUAAAUAACCAUGUUGAGCAGCGUCAAGAGACGGGUUCGCCCUCCAAGAAGGGAAACAGAAUCCAGUACUGUAAUAAACUGCAACACAAACAGUAAACUGAUGGGAACAGUAUAAGUAGUCAUAUUGGACUGUGCACAUGAGGGGAGCUCAGUAGCGGGUUGAGCGUAUGAGAGUGCCGCACUCUCUAAUAAUGUAAUCGGCAUCCAUCCGUGUCAGCAUUAGGCUGACAGUAUGAGAGGGCCGUACCCGCUAAUAAUAAAAUUAGUGUCUAUAUCAGUGUCUGGCUCCUUAUAUGAGAGGGGGUCACCCUCAAAUCAUGCAUUUUGCAUCAAUAUCGUCAUCGGGCUGAGGUUAUGGGAGGGCCGCGCCCUCUAAUAAUAAAAUUAGUGUCAGGUUCAGUAUAUGAGAUGGUGUCACCCUCUAAUCAUGUAAUUUGCAUCAGCGUCUGGCUGAGGUUAUGGGAGGGCUGCACCCUCUUAUAAU